rnacentral:rRNA from 1 species
GAUACCUACGGGGCGCAGCAGUGGGGGAUAUUGCACAAUGGGGGAAACCCUGAUGCAGCGACGCCGCGUGGGUGAAGAAGCGCCUCGGCGCGUAAAGCCCUGUCAGCAGGGAAGAAAAUGACGGUACCUGAAGAAGAAGCCCCGGCUAACUACGUGCCAGCAGCCGCGGUAAUACGUAGGGGGCAAGCGUUAUCCGGAUUUACUGGGUGUAAAGGGAGCGUAGACGGCAAUGCAAGUCUGGAGUGAAAGGCGGGGGCCCAACCCCCGGACUGCUCUGGAAACUGUAUAGCUGGAGGGCAGGAGAG